rfam:TPA: Bos taurus chromosome 23, whole genome shotgun sequence.
UCCCGAGUAGCUCAGAUGGGAAAGAAUCUGGCUGCAAUGCAGAAGACCCAGGUUUGAUCCCUGGGUCAGGAA